CCUACGGGCGGCAGCAGUGAGGGAUAUUGGUCAAUGGACGCAAGUCUGAACCAGCCAUGCCGCGUGCAGGAAGACGGCUCUAUGAGUUGUAAACUGCUUUUGUACGGGGGUAAAUGCCGAUACGUGUAUCGGGUUGAAAGUAUAGUACGAAUAAGGAUCGGGUAACUCCGUGCCAGAGGCCGCGGUAAUACGGAGGAUUCAAGCGUGAUCCGGAUUUAUUGGGGUUAAAGGGUGCGUAGGCGGGUGGAUAAGUUAGAGGUGAAAUCCGGGGGCUCAACUCCGGGACUGCUUUGGAGACUGUCGGGCUAGAGUUUAGGUGCGGCAGGCGGAAUGCAUGGUGUAGCGGUGAAAUGCAUAGAGAUCAGACAGAACACCGAUUGCGAAGGCAGCUUACCAAACUACGACUGACGUUGAGGCACGAAAGCGUGGGGAGCAAACAGGAUUAGAUACCCUAGUAGUC
rnacentral:rRNA from 1 species